UACAGAGGGUGCAAGCGUUGUUCGGAAUUAUUGGGCGUAAAGCGCGUGUAGGCGGCUUUGCAAGUCGGGUGUGAAAUCCCUCAGCUCAACUGAGGAAGUGCGCCCGAAACUGCAGAGCUUGAGUACCGGAGAGGAUGGCGGAAUUCCCCAAGUAGAGGUGAAAUUCGUAGAUAUGGGGAGGAACACCGGUGGCGAAGGCGGCCAUCUGGACGGAUACUGACGCUGAGACGUGAAAGCGUGGGUAGCAAACAGG
rnacentral:rRNA from 1 species